UUAGAGUUUGAUCCUGGCUCAGGAUGAACGCUGGCGGCGUGCCUAACACAUGCAAGUCGAGCGAUUCACUUCGGUGAAGAGCGGCGGACGGGUGAGUAACGCGUGGGUAACCUGCCUCAUACACAUGGAUAACAUACCGAAAGGUAUGCUAAUACAAGAUGAUAUAAGAGAUUCGCAUGGAUUUCUUAUCAAAGCUCCGGCGGUAUGAGAUGGACCCGCGUCUGAUUAGCUAGUUGGUAAGGUAACGGCUUACCAAGGCGACGAUCAGUAGCCGACCUGAGAGGGUGAUCGGCCACAUUGGAACUGAGACACGGUCCAAACUCCUACGGGAGGCAGCAGUGGGGAAUAUUGCACAAUGGGCGAAAGCCUGAUGCAGCAACGCCGCGUGAGCGAUGAAGGCCUUCGGGUCGUAAAGCUCUGUCCUCAAGGAAGAUAAUGACGGUACUUGAGGAGGAAGCCCCGGCUAACUACGUGCCAGCAGCCGCGGUAAUACGUAGGGGGCUAGCGUUAUCCGGAUUUACUGGGCGUAAAGGGUGCGUAGGUGGUUUCUUAAGUCAGGAGUGAAAGGCUACGGCUCAACCGUAGUAAGCUCUUGAAACUGGGAAACUUGAGUGCAGGAGAGGAAAGUGGAAUUCCUAGUGUAGCGGUGAAAUGCGUAGAUAUUUGGAGGAACACCAGUGGCGAAGGCGACUUACUGGUCUGUAAUUGACGCUGAGGCUCGAAAGCGUGGGUAGCAAACAGGAUUAGAUACCCUGGUAGUCCACGCCGUAAACGAUGAGUGCUAAGUGUUAGGGGGUUUCCGCCCCUUAGUGCUGGAGUUAACGCAUAAGCCACUCCG
rnacentral:rRNA from 1 species